rnacentral:rRNA from 1 species
GACGAAGGGGGCGGGCGUUGUUCGGAAUCACUGGGCAUAAAGCGCACGUAGGCGGCGACGUAAGUUGGGUGUGAAAUCCCUCGGCCCAACCGAGGAACUGCGCCCAGUACUGCGUUGCUUGAGGAUCCAAGGGGUGCAUGGAAUUCCCGGUGGAGCGGUGAAAUGCGUUGAUAUCGGGAGGAACUCCGGCGGCGAAAGCGGUGCACUGGUGGAUUACUGACGCUGAGGUGCGAAAGCCAGGGGAGCAAACGGG